GCGAGAAUGGUGGAAUUGGUAGACACGCAAGGCUAAGGACCUUGUGGCCGCAAGGCUGUGAGGGUUCGAGUCCCUCUUCUCGCA
rnacentral:tRNA from 1 species